CAACAAAAAUUGCAUUUACAAAAAAUAGUUUAAUCCCAGUAUUUACAGAACAACCGCUCUUCACAACAAAUAAGUAAACAGCUCAUUCAAAACUUAAACGGUUUAGCCUCCAUUGUGCGUCCGUAGCGACUUUUUAUUUAGUUUUUCACAAAAGCAGGUCAGAUGGGAACGAUGCUGAACGGAGUUGAAAACGGAACACAGGAAAAAAGGGAAGUACCCCAGUCUUGGUAUUUAGAUUGUCGUCGUUCUAUGUAAUAUAUAAAUGAUUAUGUUGUUGUUCAUUUUUUUUCAAUAAAUAACUCUGACUUAGUCAUAAAACGACCCGGUUUCUGCAAUUCGGUCAAAACGCAGGAGAAAUAGGGUAAAGUACCUUUAGUCGUACCAGCGCUUAAGUCGUACCACGUCGAUAUCUGCGCACCCGUCAUGAAAAGGUGGCAUCUAACAGUGCAAUAUGGUUCUACUAAGUACCACGGGUAAACAGCAACACGCGGCGGCUUGCCGGAAUUCGCGAUCAAAAAAAAAUGAAAAAGUGAUCAAUAUGGCAAAGAAAAUUUAUAACUCUUGGAAGCAAGAUGACAUAGAUGAACACAAAAAGGAACACAAUUCACAAAUAAAAAAAGAAAGAUAGACAGAAAAUCUAACAAAGAUAAGAAACUAGAUGCUAAAGAAAAUUGGUUGUGCAAACUAACAACACUAAACAAGAUCGCAAAGAAAAUAUGACCCUAUGUAUUAAAUGCAAAGGAUGGGUACAUGAUUUAUGUGCAGAUCUCGAAAUUAAAACUAAAAAUUACAUUUGUGAUAUAUGCAUUU